rnacentral:miRNA from 1 species
CCCCAGAUGUUGCUGAACUACAACUCCCAUGCUUUCAUGGCUAUCUGUGUCAUUGGAAGAAUCAUGGGAGUUGUAGUUCAGCAACAUCUGGGG